GUACUUGCUUCUGCAGUACAUAUGCCAAAAUUGGAAUGCUACAGAGAAAAUUAGCACAGCCGCUGUGCAAGGAUGAUAUGCAAAAUUAUGAAGCAUUCCACAUUUUU
rnacentral:snRNA from 1 species